rnacentral:lncRNA from 1 species
ACACAACCUCGUGAUUACACAUUUCUACACAUUUCAAAAUGAUCACCACAAGUCGUCUAAUUACCAUAGAUGUGUAAGAAGCAUCCACUAUCUUUUCCAGAGUGGUUGUAUAUUUCACAUUCCCACCUUGCAGGAGUGUUCUAUGCCUGAGCCACAUCAUCACCAACUAGCGGUAGUCAGUUGUUAUGUCAUUCUAAUUGGUGUGUAUGUUAUCUCACUGUGGGUUUAAUUUGCACUUCUCUGAUAACAAAUGAUAUUGAGCCUCUUUUGACACGGUUGUUAUCUAGUUGUAUAUCUUCUUUUGUGAAGUGUCUAUUGAAAUAUUUUGCCUAUAUUUUUAUUAAGUUGAUCUUCUUCCUAUGAUUUCUCAUAGAGGCUGGAUACAAGGCCUUUGUCAGAUAUGAGCCCAUUUCUAUUUCUUGAUGAUGUCUUUCAAAAAGUAGAAACUUUUCAUUUUGGUGGAGUGUAUUCAUUUUUCUCUUUUAUGCAUCAUGCGCUUUUUUUGUGAUGAAACUGCCCCAAAUUUACAGACAGUCUCUCCUGUUUUCUUCUGGAAAUUUUAUAAUUUGAAUUCUUUAAGUUCAUGAUUUGAACAUUUAAGUUCAUGACCCACUUUGAGUUUAUUGUUGGGUGCGAAGUUGGGAUCAAUAUUUACAUUUUCCCAAAUAGAGAUCUUGCUCUUCUGCCACCAUUUGUUGAAAAGAUUAGCCUCUCUUUAUUGAAAGUAACUUCACUGAAAAUUAAUUGAAUAUACAAAUAGGGAUAUAUUUCUGUCUCUCUAUUCUGUUCUCCCGAUCUGUAUGUCUAUCUUUUUACCUGAAUCACACUGUCUUAAUUAAUAUAGCCUUAUAGUAAGUCAUGAAAUUAGGUAAUGUAAAUCCUUGGUUUACACCUAUGAUCUUUUUGAAAUUGUGUCAUUUAUUCUAGGAUCUUUAUUUUGCAUAAACAUUUUUUUGCUUUUUUUUUUUUUUUUUUUUGGCCAAUGGACAUUCAGUAUUCAUUCUAGUUUCCUGAAGUUGUCUUUUAUUUAUUUAUUUAUUUAUUUGGCCACACUUGUGGCAUGCAGGAGUUCCUGUGCCAGGAAUUGAACCCAUGCCACAGAAGUGACCCAAGCCACAGCAGUGACCAUUCCAAAUCCUUAACUUGCUGAGCCAUGAGGGAACGCCUCCAUAAAAAUUUUAGAAUAAGAAUAUUAAUUUUCCAAAAGCUUUCUGGAAUGUUGAUUGGGGUUGUGUUCCUAGGUGAGCAGUAAAUAGCCAGCACCCUUGGAUUUUCUUGAUUUAUGGCACCAGAAAAACUCAGGCUUUGGCCCAGCAGCAAGCUGAGAGCCACUACAGGGCAAAAUCAAGGGAGAGUGCUGUGCCUGACCAUAUCAUCCUCAAACCUAACAACACCGGAGGUAACUCUGGCAGAUAAGGCCAACCCUCUGGCAAGCCUCAAGGACAGAGUCAUUGCACAGACUCCCCAGCAUCCUGGAGCAAGGCUAUGUUUUCUCCAAGAGGGAAUGACUCACCAUUUGAAAGAGGCUCCUGGUCUGCUACUGGUUUUAGUAACAACUGAGCACCUGAACUUGCAACAUCAGGUUCCCCAAAAAAACCAACAAAGGAGAAACUGCCUAAUCCUCAUUUACAAAUGGGUUGCCUGAAUAUGAUGGGUGUCCUGAAAAUAAACUGCCACUCCCUGCAUCACCACAAGGUGGAACUUCAGUGGGCAGAGCUGUGAGCAGAACAGCUGAUCGUCUACUUCAUAGGGAGGAAAAGCUUCUAUUAUACAGGCAGAACCUCGCAAUCUCAUCUGUGAAAUUAAAAAUGUAAUCAUAAUGGAUUCGCCUGGUGCUGAUGGUUUUAGACCAGAGGUUUCUGAUAGCUCACUUUCAGUGUCAGUUUUGAUCCAGGUGUUGGAUUGUCUAUGGAGUAAAAUGCUUGAUUCUCCCAGCCCCCUCUAACCAGGGGGCUGACAUCUUGGAAUAAAAGGUUUGGAAGUACAGAAGUCCACUUUGUGAAGCAUCCUUGUGGUCCGUAGAGAAAAUGAACAUACUUCCUGAUUUGCUUCUAUUGUCCUGGCAUCCCUCUGGUUUAAUGAGCUCUUAUCGAGGCAGCCCAUACCCGGAGCAGUGAGAGUGGCACCACCAGACUCGUUCCCCUGGACCACACGUGGCAUCUCAGCAUCUGUCCGCCAUAGUUGUGAGCACCUGUGCUUUACCUGGAUUCAUUCUGUGCAUUGCUUAGCCAGAUGGGUCCCAAGGAGCGGAGAGGUGAGUUGAAGUACAAAUGAACCACAGAUGAGCUAAGGACCACUGUGUAUUCCUGUCUCCUUUGCCGCUUGGAAAUUAAAGGAGGAAGAACUGUAGGCACCACGCCAUCCUCUUAGCUGGUAUCACCUAGCCAGAUGCCUGGGAGAUAAAAGGUAUAAAAUUACCCCCUUAUAUUUUCCCUCCAAGGAGAUUUCGCUUCUGGGAUCCUAGCACCAGAAAAUAGAAACCCUUGGCUACUUAACAAACAGGUAACCAACACUUUUUAGAUUUGCGUGUGCUUCUUGAAUUACCAAGAGAAAUGUAUGAUUUCACACAAAGUCAAAGAUGACAGAUGAUGUGUUCAGGACGUAUACAGGUGAUCUGGUGUCCGCAGCAUCUGAAGAGUGCUUUCCUUGCCUUCUCAAUUCCCCUGCUGCCUGGUAACCAGGAGGCAGCGCAGUGCAGCGCAGGGCCACGGGUAUCAAACUGAGGAUCACCUCCAGGGCUUCCACCUACCACCUACCAGCCGUGGGACAUCGGGCAAAUUCCUCGACUUGACGGGGCUCUUAUGAGGAUUAAGUGAGAUAAUCUGUGUAAAGCUUUUAGUACCGGGCCACAUGGUAAGUACUCAGAAGGGACUGUUGGUACUUACAGUUCUGGAGAGGCUAGGUCAUCUAAUCACCUGUGUUUUCUGCUGGGUGAACCAAGGGGAUUUUCCACCUCCUGGUUAGUUCAUAAGGUAUGUUAAUCACAGGAAAGUUUAUACGAUGAUGAGUUGGUGGUUGCCUAAUUUGAUGAGUCAGAUUGUUUUCUUUUUUUCACUUCUGUGUUGAAAAUAGAAAUUUAGGUCAACUUUUUGCUGGAGGCAGAAAAGUUUUUUUAGGAGUUCUCCUGUGGGGCAGCGGGUUCAGGAUUCGGCAUUGUCACCGCAGCGGCUUUGGGACACUGCUGUGGCUGGUGUUCCAUCCCUGGCCUGGGAACUUCCACAGGCCGAGGGUGCGGCCAAAAACAAAACAUUCUUUUUAUUGGGUUACCUGUCUGAAAUGAGAAAGAAACCCCUUUGAAUGCCUGGCUAUCGACUCAGCCCCACAGCUGAUAUGAAUAGAUUUCCUUUGGGAACCUCAAGUAAGAGUCUUAGGAGAGAGUCUAUGUAUGGCUCUUAAGCUGGGAAACAUCGAUUAAAAUCUAGCUUAGAUUUAGUUUCUAAGGCUACCGGAAUUGAGACAUUUAAAGACUCAGAAUACCAGGCUUCUUUGGGUGAAUUUAACAGUGUGUGCUGUGAACAGCUGCACGAGAAUCAAAGGUCAUUACUGCCAUUGCCCAGGGCUGCAGUGUCAGCAAAGGCAACCCAGCAGGAGGAUGCAUGUGGUGGGAAUUUCGGGGAUGCCUAGGACCACCCAAGGUGGUCAUCCCACUAAGAAGAGCUUACCUAACGCAUUGCUCUAAUAGGCUCUUAGGUUGCUAAUAAUCAUAUGGCCUUAAUCAGCAGUAAAUGAGAACCUACUUAAUCAACCCACAGUCUUAAGGUAGUGUGAAGUAACAAGAAAAGUGAACUGCUACUAAGUGGCAUUACUCUGACAAGACUGGCAUAUUUUCAUUUUCCCAGUGUUCUCUUCUGUGCAUGAAACUGGGUUCUGGGCUUAAUAACCCUCAGCCAUAAAGUACUGUAACAUGUUAGUUCAUGCUGGGUGGCAACAGGUUUGUUUUUCAUGAUUAUGUAAUCUGAAUUCUUCUUCCAAGAAAGGAUUUGGAAAUGAGCUAUUAAAUUGGAUUGCCAGCAGACAUUUGGUCUAAAUGCACAUCUGCAUUAGCUGCAUGAAACUCCGGCCCUUUCUCUCUCAUGGCCCCCUACCCCUCUACAAAUCUGAAAACUGCAACUCUAGUGUGGCCCAUGAGAAAAACAGUCCAGCAGCUGGCCGAGGUUUACAUAAAGCAGUGAAAUGCCUACUAAGGAUUUUUAGGUGAGGGUAUUUGAUCUUCCUUGGUCUUAAAUAGCAACCUAAUGAGCCAGGCGAUCUGGGCACUCCGUACACUUGUACCCAGAUUAGAUUGGCUUUAAAAACUAAUAUAGUGUUAAAAUAUUGUGCAAAGGGUGCCUACUGGAGUAGGUUCAAAGACUUCAAGUGCUAGGUUGGUAUUUAUUGACUAAAAUGCUACUUAGAAAAGAGUUCACGUUGUUCUUAAUUUCCAAGACAAAGCUGAAAACCACAGCAAAUAACUGCUUGGGGGUUUGCAUUCCAUAGUCCUGGACUCAGAGGCAAGCUUCCUGUUCCCUCUUGGCUGGCAGACCCGACCCGAAGGCCAGGCGGUGAAUGGUUUGGUUCUUAGAGUUGCAGAAUCUGCACCGGGUGCCAGACCAGGUGUUUUUUGUUUUUUUAAGUUCAUCGUAAAGAUUUGGAUCUCACGGAAAGAGAACAGGAGAGCAGACUGAGUUAGGUAUUUGGGCAAAGACCAUCUCUUUACAAAGAUCCACACACCUGAGUAGCUCCCAAAGAGGAGGGUUUCAAAAUAACUGAGACCCACACUUGGAAAACGCGAAUCAUUCCCCGGGAUCUUCUUGGUAAGAUUUCAGGAAUUAAAAGGAAGAAAAGAAAAAGAAAAAGAACCAUUCAAGAUUCUCAGGCCAACAGGAUUUUUAUUUUUUUCCUUCUAGGGGAAAUGCCAGAUUUUUUUCAAGUAGUAUAAUUCCGUGUUUUUGUAUGCAACUUGUAUGCACAGUCCUAUGUUUAUAAGGAGCUGAAAGUCAAAUGCUGAGAUUUCCUCUGCUACCUUUACAGCUGGUGCUCUUACAUGGGCCCAGGUCAGAACCUACAGGAAACUCUGGCUGUGCGUGUGCAUGUUUGUAACAAAGAAAGGGAGAGAGAAAGAUACAGAUAAAGACAGGGAAUUCCAGAAUUGUCCUUGCAAGGAGUAGUUAUGAGGCUGAAUGUUCUAGUGGAAAAUAAAUGAAGAGAAUCCUAGAACACUAGUUAUUCAAAUAGCAUGCCCACAUGAAUUGCUUAGGAAAAACCAUUAACCUCUUCUUCUCUGCCCCAUUCUUUCAGCAAUUUUAAAGGUCUUAUGGCCAAAGGACAAGAUCCGGAAGGGUUGGUGGUGGGGCCGGGAAGAGUUGAAGUUUAACUCAGCUGAUCUGGGGGCGAAUUUCCUUGGCAGUGCAAAGGCUCUCAAUGAAGGAUCUCUGCCAGACAGAAGCAGCGCAGGCCACGCCCGGGCCACAGCGAGGCCCGUCCCUGACCCUCCUUCAGAGAAGAGGCUUGUGUCCUUUUCUGAGGCAGCCCCUCCCUUGGGUAGACAAACAAGCCUCCUCAGUACGCAUCCUCCCCCACCCCCACCAGUGUGCUCAUUCCAACCUUUGUGCCCCCUUCCAACCUCUCCUUAUAAUUCUCUCUCCCCACCUCUUUAACCCAACCUCUCACCCCCUUCCAGGUCCAACACCAGAUCCUCUAAGCAUCCUUGCAAAUAAAGAACGUUCCCCUGGGAUGCUCUCCAUCCUCUCCGCCCUCAUCAGGCUGCUAAUAUUUUCACUGUUUCUUAUAGACGCUGUAGAGACAAAAGCCCUUCUCCUUUCUUUUCUGGCUGUCCAAUUCUUUCUUUUCUUCAAAAAAUAAAUAACCUUAU